rnacentral:rRNA from 1 species
CGGCGUAAAGAGUGGUAUCAUGCUAUCACGAUAACUAAGACCAAAGUGCAACUAAGCUGUCAUAAGCUCAAGAUGUGCCUAAGACCCCCGAUGAUCUUAGUACGAUUAAUUUAAUUCCACGAAAGCUAAGGUACAAACUGGGAUUAGAUACCCCACUAUGCUUAGCCCUAAAUCUUGAUGCUAGCAUCCGCCUGAGAACUACGAGCACAAACGCUUAAAACUCUAAGGACUUGGCGGUGCCCUAAACCCACCUAGAGGAGCCUGUUCUGUAAUCGAUAACCCACGUUACACCGACCGCCCCUUGCACAGCCUACAUACCGCCGUCGCCAGCUCACCUCUCCUGAGAGUCCAAUAGUGAGCACAAUAGAACGCUAAUAAGACAGGUCGAGGUAUAGCCCAUGGGGCGGAAGAAAUGGGCUACAUUUUCUAAAGUAGGAAGGGGGCAUGAAACUCCCCCCGAAGGCGGAUUUAGUAGUAAAGCAGGAUAAUAGCCCUCUUUAAAUCGGCCCUGGGCACGUACAUACCGCCCGUCACCCUCCUCAUAAGCUAAAGAUG